rnacentral:rRNA from 1 species
AGUGAACGCUGGCGGUAGGCCUAACACAUGCAAGUCGAACGGCAGCACAGUAAGAGCUUGCUCUUACGGGUGGCGAGUGGCGGACGGGUGAGGCAUACAUCGGAAUCUACUUUUUCGUGGGGGAUAACGUAGGGAAACUUACGCUACUACCGCAUACGACCUACGGGUGAAAGCAGGGGAUCUUCGGACCUUGCGCGAUUGAAUGAGCCGAUGCCGGAUUAGCUAGUUGGCGGGGUAAAGGCCCACCAAGGCGACGAUCCGUAGCUGGUCUGAGAGGAUGAUCAGCCACACUGGAACUGAGACACGGUCCAGACUCCUACGGGAGGCAGCAGUGGGGAAUAUUGGACAAUGGGCGCAAGCCUGAUCCAGCCAUACCGCGUGAGUGAAGUAGGCCUUCGGAUUGUAAAGCCCUUUUGUUGGGAAAGAAAAGCAGCAGGUUAAUACCCCGCUGUUCUGACGGUACCCAAAGAAUAAGCACCGGCUAACUUCGUG